CACCGGUGAUGACGCUGGUGUUGAUGUGGAUGCCAAUGCCAUGGCUUGUGGUGAGCAGUGCCAUGGCCAUCAUCACCAUCAUCAGCUUCAUAG
rnacentral:miRNA from 1 species